GUGUCUCAACUGGUAGAGCAAGGCAUCCGCACUGCCAGGGAUAUGGGGUUCAAUUCCCCACUGGCGGCCA